rnacentral:lncRNA from 1 species
GUUUUGUUUGUAAUUAGAUGUAUGUUAGUUUCUCUUAUCUGUUUCACCUACUGUGGAUUCAUUUUGUUUUCGUGUGUGUCAAUAUUCGUGGAUUUUGAAAAAGUAACAUUUUUGUGUGCUAUGGAUUUUGUGGUUUGGACAAAGUCUGCAUACCAGCAUAUAUAUUAUUUGUAAAUUGUUGAUUCACCAAUAACCACAAAAAUUGAUAUCCAACGAAUAACAGAGUUUCAAUGUCCCCCCCACACUUUGCACAUAUUUUAUUUUCUAUCCAAGAUACAAGGGCAGUAACUAAAUAAUUUAAAACAAUGUUUUUUGUUCUUUAAAAUACUUUUUUAAAAAUCUUAGAGAUAUGAAGGCUUCAGUGUAAGAAAUGUAAGCUUCCAAGCAAAUGCAAUGCAAUUUCUGUUGUAAUUAAUUUUUCCAAGGGGCAUAACUCUAUAAAUAUAAAUUUCAUCAGCAUUGAUUUUCCAAAGUGUCGAUUAGCUGAUAUAAACCUAUGAUAUCGGUUAAUUCAGGCAGGUGUGAGAGUGCUAACAAUUCAUCUUUCCUUAUAACCAAUAUAUCUAAGGGACAUAACUCUUUAUAAAAUAAUUGAUCUGCACUGAUUUUUCAACUCGUCAAAGACAUUCCUGAUAUAAUAAAACCUAUAAUACAUAUUUCAUAAAAUCUGGCAAGAAUUGUAAACAUUAGUGUGCUAAAUUGUUUUUGC